CAGUCGACUAAAGUAUCGUGGACUCGACAUUGCUAGGUGUCAAAUUAAAAGAAAAAAUGCUUAACGUAAAAUUUUCUACAUAUGAAGUAGCCAAUUUAGAGUGUGGAAUAAAAUAUAUCUGAAUCAGGCGUACAAAUUCUUUUUUCGACAUUUUCUUAUAUGACCAACACAAUCUCAGAUUUUGCUGACCUCUGUUGUAAACAAAUCGCUUUCAUAUCCCAUAUUGCGUCAGAAAAUCAGAUGGUCUCCUCAAGUUAGAGGAGAGCGCAUUAGCGAUGUUGGCUACAUCUUUGCACUUCUGUGGUGGUAACGGACCAACCCACUCGGCCACGGCGGCCGUAUUUGAUGCAUUUUUUUAUAAUGAGCCACUUGCUCGUACUUGGAACACGUUACCUCACUAAAACAACUUUACUACACUUUGGUAGUUUAAUAAUAUUUCGUAGAAUUACUGCUUCAGAAACCAAACGAAUUUUAUACAUCGUUAAGGAACAAGAUUUUUAAUGUAGCAUACACUGCAGAGUACAGUUUACCAAAUUAACAAAUGCUAAAAGAAAGGUAUUUGGGUAGAGCAGUAUCGCUAAACCAUAUUACACGAAUUUCAACUACAUAUACAUAUAGUUACUUAAUGAGGUAAUAUUAAAAACUAAAACAUUGCGAUUAAUUGAGAGUCCCCCGGCAGCCUUGUGCUCCGCACAAGCAAGGAAUUUUCUCGUCCUCUAAUGGAAAUUUAUAAUCACUCUAUAGUUAUGACCUUAGCAUAGCAGUUGGGCUGUAAAAAAAAACGAAUUAAUUCCAUUAACAAGAAAGUAUCAUACAUACAAAUACUUACGUUACAA